UUUAAAUUGAGAGUUUGAUCCUGGCUCAGGAUGAACGCUGGCGGCGUGCUUAACACAUGCAAGUCGAGCGAUGAAGUUUCCUUCGGGAAACGGAUUAGCGGCGGACGGGUGAGUAACACGUGGGUAACCUGCCUCAUAGAGUGGAAUAGCCUUCCGAAAGGAAGAUUAAUACCGCAUAAUGUUGAAAGAUGGCAUCAUCAUUCAACCAAAGGAGCA
rnacentral:rRNA from 1 species